ACAUGUAGAGUCCAGAAGGCUACAGGAAGGUGUUUGGAUUUUUAUUUGUAAUGCCUGGGAAUCACUGAAGAGCGUCAAGCAGGAGAAUGAUGUGAUUAGAUCCCCCUAGCUGCUCAAAGGAUAACAAAGGAAGGGGAAAACUGGGCUUUGAGUUUCUCGAGGUGUAGAAGGUCUAUGAUGUUGCUCUGGCAAUAGAUGGCUAAAGAGAACGGUUCAAGGCCAACGUCAUCAAAGCUGGGAGGCCAAAGGUGUUAGGAGAUAUAUCUACAUGGAUGUUGAUAUAUCCACAACAGCAUCAGGAAUUGAGAUGGUGAGAGGAAAGGUCUUGGGGGGAAGGAACAGAGAAAGGUAAAUCAGUGGAACCAAUAUUCUGAAUAUGGAGAAGCCUUGCAUCAGAGCAGUGACUGGGGAGGAGAGGCGUUAAUGACCCCGUGACUCUGACCACAUCUCUCCCUUGCUCAGCUGCUCCAAAAGUUCCCUGUUACCCACUGGAGAAAGUUCAAGCAUCUUAGCACUUCCCUGCACAAGUUCAUCUUGACAGCCUCACCUCCUGCCUCCACCCUCCCCCGAGACUCAUUGAACUGCUUGAGUUUUCCCAUUCACACCUCUCUCCCUUUGCACACACUGUUCCUUUCAUCUCAAGUGUCUGUCCCUUCUUCCCACCCUUGCAAGAACCUCUCUUUACCCUUUAUGGCUUAGUUCAAAUGUCCUACUUCUAUAAACAUUUUUCUCAAAUGCCCCAGCUGUUCAGGAAGCUGACAUUUAUUGAAGAUCUGCCAUGUGCUAGACUCUGGGCAAGGCACAUUCAUUUGGCCUGCCCUCUGUGCUGCCCAUCCAAGCUUGCCAGGUCUGCCAACAGCAUAGAGACCGGCCCAGUGUUAGAGCUUCCAGACUUGGCUCAGUAAUCACUGAACCCGAGAACCAGGCUCCAUUGGAAUUUCAUCAACAGGAAGGGCUGGGCAGGUUUCUUCUUAUUCCCUUACCUUAACCCAACCUCGGCAACUUCUACAGCUAUAAACAACAAAGGACACUUAAUACGUGAGACGCGAUGGUCUGUGAAGCAAUGUUCCUGAUUCAUUCGGAAGUUAUGGUCAGGUAUUAUUGUGGUUUGGCCUUGUCGGAGCAUGCCAACAGACAGCAGAAUCACCAGCUACAUUUUGCUAAGAGAGAUUGUGCCAAACUGAUGCACUUGACCGCCCGAGGAAACAACUCCCUGUUCUUCCAGGUUAACGAUCUCAAGUAGAUCAAUCAAUAUUGUCAGAGCCUGCGGCUGAAGUAAAUUUUACCCGAAUUCUGGCACAAGACACAGGAGAAGGAGACCAAGAAAGACAAGCUACAGGGGCCAUCCUCGGAACACAACUUCGCAAAGUGCUGGCCGGCAGCCUGGUCUCCAGAAGUCACGCUGACUUUAUCCUUUUAUGGGUAUAGAGAACGAUCCUUUUAUAGAUUGCCUCAGCCCCACUCCCCACGUCCUGCCAUCUUGAAUUCCUGGUCAGCAUUUGCCCUCCAGAGAAAGGUUGAACCUCCCGAGGCUGAGGUAACCCAUAGCUAGUCUGUGCUGUCCAGAAGAUGGCAUGGGGUCCCACAAAGGAGGUACAAUCUCACGCAGCCAAAGGAGUCUUUACGGAUGAAACCUGAACGGGACAGAGAGAGCUUUGACCUUCUGCCUAACACGUUGAGUCAGCUGGUAGUUGAGUUCGGUUGGUUGGCUGUGUCUCAGAUGUCAGUAGGAGACGAAGCAAAGAUGUUCUGCUUGCUGAAGUUUUUUUUCCUUUCUCCAUGGACCAGAUGUUCUUUUGGAAAGAGCCUUGGAUUCGGAAUCGCAAAAACCUGGAUUUAAACCCUUUUCUGUCAUUUACCCUAGUGACCUCCCUAAGCCCAAUGCCCUCGCCUAACCAGUGAAAAUCUCACAGUCCCCAGCUGAUGAAGCAACCAGCUGACAAGCGUCUGGAUACGCCAGUAACUGCGACUUGAAACUAUAUGUCACCCAGUGCUCUGGGGAAGGGUGGGAGACGUAGAGGUGGUGGUAACUCAGGCUGGCCUGGAGGUCCCUGCCCUGGGGGAGGCUCAAGUCCUCCGUGGUUUGUGACCCAGCCCGGGCGAGGCAGGAAGUAUGGGGCCUCCUCAGGCAGAGGGCCUGUCUCCCCAGUUCACAUGUGAGCACCUCCAUACCAGGGCCCCGUCUGACUGCUCCCUCUGGUAGGGGCACAAUCUGUGUUUAAAGGAA